UACAGAGGGUGCGAGCGUUAAUCGGAAUUACUGGGCGUAAAGCGUGCGUAGACGGUUAUUUAAGUCGGAUGUGAAAGCCCCGGGCUCAACCUGGGAAUUGCAUUCGAGACUGAAUAGCUAGGGUGCGGUAGAGGGAAGCGGAAUUUCCGGUGUAGCGGUGAAAUGCGUAGAUAUCAGGAGGAACACCGGUGGCGAAGGCGGCUCUCUGGACCACAACUGACGCUGAGGCGCGAAAGCUAGGGGAGCAAACAGG
rnacentral:rRNA from 1 species